rnacentral:rRNA from 1 species
GGGGGGAGCAAGCGUUGUUCGGAUUUACUGGGCGUAAAGGGCGCGUAGGCGGCCAGCACAAGUCAGUUGUGAAAUCUCCGAGCUUAACUCGGAAAGGUCAACUGAUACUGUGCGGCUAGAGUGCGGAAGGGGCAACUGGAAUUCUUGGUGUAGCGGUGAAAUGCGUAGAUAUCAAGAGGAACACCUGCGGCGAAGGCGGGUUGCUGGGCCGACACUGACGCUGAGGCGCGAAAGCCAGGGGAGCGAACGGGAUUARAUACCCCGGUAGUCCUGGCCUUAAACGAUGAAUGCUUGGUGUCUGGGGUUAUAUAGUCCCCGGGUGCCGUCGCUAACGCUUUAAGCAUUCCGCCUGGGGAGUACGGUCGCAAGACUG